GGGUUGUGAGGUUAAGCGACUAAGCGUACACGGUGGAUGCCCUGGCAGUCAGAGGCGAUGAAGGACGUGCUAAUCUGCGAUAAGCGUCGGUAAGGUGAUAUGAACCGUUAUAACCGGCGAUUUCCGAAUGGGGAAACCCAGUGUGAUUCGUCACACUAUCAUUAACUGAAUCCAUAGGUUAAUGAGGCGAACCGGGGGAACUGAAACAUCUAAGUACCCCGAGGAAAAGAAAUCAACCGAGAUUCCCCCAGUAGCGGCGAGCGAACGGGGAGCAGCCCAGAGCCUGAAUCAGUGUGUGUGUUAGUGGAAGCGUCUGGAAAGGCGCGCGAUACAGGGUGACAGCCCCGUACACAAAAAUGCACAUGCUGUGAGCUCGAUGAGUAGGGCGGGACACGUGGUAUCCUGUCUGAAUAUGGGGGGACCAUCCUCCAAGGCUAAAUACUCCUGACUGACCGAUAGUGAACCAGUACCGUGAGGGAAAGGCGAAAAGAACCCCGGCGAGGGGAGUGAAAAAGAACCUGAAACCGUGUACGUACAAGCAGUGGGAGCACAGAGCAAUCUGUGUGACUGCGUACCUUUUGUAUAAUGGGUCAGCGACUUAUAUUCUGUAGCAAGGUUAACCGAAUAGGGGAGCCGAAGGGAAACCGAGUCUUAACUGGGCGUUAAGUUGCAGGGUAUAGACCCGAAA
rnacentral:rRNA from 1 species